UAGGGUUGAAAAAGAGGAGGAAAUACAGUUAGAAAGAGUGCAGCAGACACUGUCGAAAAGAGCUUCAAGAGACUAAACAACCAAAAAGCAUACACGGAUAGAUCUGAGGAUCCUGGCAGACAUUUAGGAGAGCACUGACUUGUUUGUCUCAGUGGAAGAGGGUGCACCUAAUCUUGGAAUUGAUGCCCAAGAAACGGAAAAGAUACAUGGGAGGAACGGGAGGGCACCCUCUCAGAGGUGUUGCUGGGUAGCCUUGAGCAGAAGAAGGCUAAAGUCUGUUCGAAGAAUUUGUAGUUUGUCUGAUAUAUGCACACUUUCGAUGAAAAUAAAAACGGGACUGAACCCUGCAGCUAAAGAAGUAUUGUAAAUACAGAACAGGGGGAAGAUUUCAGCACUAAACUGCUGUUGCAGAACUAACUGCAAAUUAAAGGAAACAUCUCAAA